rnacentral:rRNA from 1 species
UGCCAGACUCCUACGGGAGGCAGCAGUGAGGAAUAUUGGUCAAUGGGCGGAAGCCUGAACCAGCCAAGUCGCGUGAGGGAUUAAGGCCCUAUGGGUCGUAAACCUCUUUUGUCAGGGAGCAAUGGCGUCCACGUGUGGGCGUAUGGAGAGUACCUGAAGAAAAAGCAUCGGCUAACUCCGUGCCAGCAGCCGCGGUAAUACGGAGGAUGCGAGCGUUAUCCGGAUUUAUUGGGUUUAAAGGGUGCGUAGGCGGAAGGUUAAGUCAGCGGUCAAAUGUCGGUGCUCAACACCGGCCUGCCGUUGAAACUGGUCUUCUUGAGUGAGCGAGAAGUAUGCGGAAUGCGUGGUGUAGCGGUGAAAUGCAUAGAUAUCACGCAGAACUCCGAUUGCGAAGGCAGCAUACCGGCGCUCAACUGACGCUGAGGCACGAAAGCGUGGGGAUCGAACAGGAUUAGAUACCCUGGUAA